GCAGUAAUCCCAGCCUGCAGGCAUUCCUUUGCCCAGUGGCCAGAUUUCUUGCACUUGUAGCAAGCUCCUGGGGGAGGAGAUUCUGGAGAAAACCCUGGCAGCUGCGGUUAAGGCGUUUGGAGUUGUUGUGUGCUGGAGAUGUGGCUGGGGUUUCUCUCACAGUGGAGGAAAGGAAUUGCAACUCAGAAAUACAUUGCUACUUGGCUGCCUCUACUCUAUUAUUGUACACCUUGAAGACACAUCCUGGGAUGGACACUACCCAGUCAUUUUAUCUACCCCAACUGCAGUUAAAGUAGUUGGAAUGGAGUCUUGGAUACAUCACACUUGAGUCAAACCCUGGAUACUGCCAAAGGAACCUGAAAAUCCAGGAGACAAUGCUAGCUAUUCCUGUGAACCUCUAGAGGAUCUGCGCCUGCUCUUCAAGCAACAACCGUGAGGAAAGUAACUAGAAUCAUAGAUCCCCAUGACCCUCCCUUGUCAUGUUUUUCUUCUUACUGUCCUCUUACCCCCUUUCACACUCACUGCACCUCCUCUAUGCCACUGUACUACCAGUAGUUCCCCUUACCAAGAGCUUCUAUGGAGAAUGCAGCUUCCUGGAAAUAUUGAUGCCCCGUUGUAUAGGAGUUUUUCUAAAGGAAACCCCACUUUCACCACCCACACCCAUAUGUCCCUACAUUUCAGGCCAUACAUUUCAAUCCGUGUAUCUUUAACCUCCUUGUUAAAUUUUUCUUUUCCAGAAUCAAGGUUGUAAAACUACAAAUCAUUCUUCAAAUGGAGCCCCAGAUACAGUCCAUGACUAAGAUCUACUGCAGGCCCCUGGACCAGCCUGCUAGCCCAUGCUCUGAUGUUGAUGACAUCAAAGGCACCCCUCCUGAGGAACUCUCAACUGCACAACCCCUACUACACCCGAAUUCAGCAGGAAGCAGAGCAGUCAUCAGCCAACCUCCCCAACAGUACUUGGGUUUUCCUGUUGAGAGGGGGACUGAGAGACAGGACUAGCUGGACUUCCCUAGGCUGACUAAGAAUUCCUAAGCCUAGCUGGAGAAGGUGAUCGCACCCACCUUUAAGCACCGGGCUUGUAACUCAGCUCACACCCGACCAAUCAGGUAGUAAAGAGGGCUCACUAAAAUACAAAUUAGACUAAAAGUAGGAGGUAAAGAAAUAGUCAAAUCAUCUAUCAUCUGAGAGCACAGGGGGAGGGAAAAUGAUUGGGAUAUAAACUCCAGGUAUUCAAGCCGGGAGUGAGAAACCCCCUUUGGGUCCCCUCCCUUUGUAUGGGAGCUCUGUUUUCACUCUAUUAAAUCUUGCAACUGCAAAGUAAAAAAAUUUGUAAAAGUGCACCAAAAAUAUGUAAAAUAUCUUAUAUCAAUAAAAAAUAAAAUAAAAUAAAAACUUUUGGAAAGCAAAAUUAUGGCUAGAUAAGAGGAGAAAGUACUAGUAUUCGAUACCAAGGAUCCCCAACCCCUGGGCCACAGACUGGUACUGGUAUGUGGCCUGUUAGGAACCAGACCACACAGCAGGAGGUGAGCAGCAGGUGAGCGAGCAGCCCCUUCAGAUCAGUGGGGUCAUGAGAUUCUCAUAGGAGUGCAAACCUAUAGUGAACUGUGCAUGCAAGGGAUCUAGGUUGCAUGCUGCUUGUAAGAAUCUAACUGAUGAUCUAAGGUGAAACAGUUUCAUCCCGAAACCAUUCCCCAUCCCCCACCCAUUUUUGUCUUCCACCAGACUGGUCCCUGGUGCCAACAAGGUUGGAGAUCACUGUUCUAUAGCACUGUAGGAAGACUAUAGUUAACAAUAAUGCAUUAUAUAGUUUCAAGUAACUAAAAGGAGGCUAUUGAAUGUUCCCAACACAAAGAAAUGACAAAUGUUUGAGAUUAUCGGUAUGCUAAUAUCCCUGAUUUGAUCACUAUACAUUAUAGGUAUCAAAACAUCACUAUGUGGCUGGGCAUGGUGGCUCACACCUAUAAACCCAGCACUUUGGGAGGCCAAGGCAGGCGGAUCACUUGAGGUCAGGAGUUCAAGGCCAGCCUGGGCAACAUUGUGAAAAUCUCUGCUGAAAAUACAAAAGUUAGCUAGGUGUGGUGGUGUGUGCCUGUAGUCCCAGCCACUUGGGAGAAUGAGGCAGGAGAAUCGCUUGAACCUGGGAGGCAGAGGUUGCAGUGAGCUGAGAUGGCACCACUGCACUCCAGCCUGGGUUACAGAGGGAGACUCUGUCUCAAAAAAAAAAAAAAAGAAUAAUGGUCUCCAACUCCAUCCAGGUUGCUGCUAAUGCCAUUAUUUUGUUCCUUUUUAUGCCUAAGUAGUAUUCCAUGGUGUGUGUGUGUGUGUAUAUGUACAUAUAUAUGUAACAUUUUCUUUAUCCACUCAUUGCUUGAUGGGCAUUUAGACUGGUUCCAUAUUUUUGCAAUUGCGAAUUGUGCUACUAUAAACAUGCGUGUGCAAAUGCCUUUUUCAUAUAAUGACUUAUUUUCCUCUGGGUAGAUACCCAGGAGUGGGAUUGCUGGAUAAAAUGGUAGAUCUACUUUUCAUUCUUUAAGUAAUCUCCAUACUGAUUUCCAUAGUGGUUGAACGAGUUUACAUUCCUACCAGCCAUAUAAAAGUGAUCCCUUUUCACCACAUCCAUGUCAACGUCUGUUUUUUUAAAUUAUGGCCAUUCUUGCAAAAGUAAAAUGGUAUCUCCUUGUGGUUUAGAUUUGCAUUGCCCUAAUAAUUAGUGAUGUUGAGCAUUUUUUCAUAUGUUUGUUGGCCAUUUGUAUAUCUUCUUAUGAAUUGUCUAUUCAUGUCCUUUACCCACUUUUUAAUGAAAUUAUGUGAUUUUUUUCUUGCUGAUUUACAGAACAAGCACAAUACAAGUGUUUUUUCUUGCUAAUUUGUUUGAAUUCCUUGUAGAUUCUGGAUAUUAGUCCAUUGUCAGAUACAUAGUUUGCAAAUAUUUUCUCCCACUCUGUGGGUUGUCUGUUUGCUCUGCUGAUUAUUUCUUUUGCUAUGCAGAAGCUUUUUAGUUUAAUUAGGUCCCAUCUAUUUAUCUUCAUUUUUAUUGCAUUUGCUUCUGGGUUCUUGGUCAUGAACUUUUUGCCUAAACCAACAUCUAGAAGAGUUUUUCCAAUGUUAUUUUCUAGAAUUGUUAUGGUUUCAGGUCUUAGAGUCAAGACUUUGACCCAUUUUGAGUUGAUUUUUGUAUAAAGUGAGAGACGAGGAUCCAGCUUUAUUUUUCUACAUGUGGCUUGCCAAUUAUCCCUGCACUAUUUGUGGAAUAGGGUGUCCUUUCCCCACUUUAUGUUUUCAUUUGCUUUGUCAGAGAUCAGUUGGCUGUAAAUAUUUGGCUUUGUUUCUGGGUUCUCUAUUCUGUUCCAUUGGAACAGAACACAUGCCUAUUUUAAUACCAGUACCAUGCUUUAUUGGUAACUAUAGCUGGGCGCUUGUCUCCCUUUUCUUUUUUGCAAAACCGCCACAGAUAUCAUUGCUUGUUCUCAGUGGCGGCUUUCUCUCCAGAGGUGGCUUCCACAUCUACAGACUAUAUAAAGACAAAUAACACAGAUUAAAAGCACAAUCAUUGAAA